rnacentral:rRNA from 1 species
UACAGAGGGGGCCAGCGUUAUUCGGAAUUAUUGGGCGUAAAGGGCGCGUAGGCGGCUUUGCGUGUCUUUCGUGAAAUCCCUCGGCUCAACUGAGGACGUGCGGAAGAAACUGCAGGGCUGGAGUCCGGGAGAGGAGGGUGGAAUUCCCAGUGUAGCGGUGAAAUGCGCAGAUAUCAGGAGGAACACCAAUGGCGAAGGCAGCUCGCUGGGACGUGACUGACGCUGAGACGCGAAAGCGUGGGGAGCAAACAGG